rnacentral:rRNA from 1 species
AAAGGAAUUGACGGGGGCCCGCACAAGCAGCGGAGCGUGUGGUUUAAUUCGAGGCUACACGAAGAACCUUACCUGGGUUUGACAUAUACGUGGUAGUGAACUGAAAAGGGAACGACCUUCGGGAGCGUAUACAGGUGCUGCAUGGCUGUCGUCAGCUCGUGCCGUGAGGUGUUCGGUUAAGUCCGCAAACGAGCGCAACCCCUGGUGCUAGUUACACGUGUCUAGCGCAACUGCCCGUGAGAAACGGGAGGAAGGUGGGGAUGACGUCAAGUCAGCAUGGCCUUUAUAUCCAGGGCUACACACACGCUACAAUGGGCGGUACAAUGGGUCGCGAAACCGCGAGGUGGAGCCAAUCCUAAAAAGCCGUUCGUAGUUCGGAUUGCAGGCUGCAACUCGCCUGCAUGAAGUCGGAGUUGCUAGUAACCGCAGGUCAGCUAUACUGCGGUGAAUACGUUCCCGGGCCUUGUACACACCGCCCGU